AGGCUGUGUCUCCUAUCUCAACUAACCUCCUGUCUUUCAGCUACCCUGUGGCCAAUGGGAGGAGAACUCCGAACUGCCCCAAAACUACAAAAGUAUGAUGAAUGAGAAACUUUCAUUCUGAAGGUCAUACUAUAAACAGGCAAAGGGGGUGGGAAAAAAUGUUUGUUUAAAUACUAAUUCCAGUCUUAUCACCUAAAUGCUCCAAAUGUUUGGUGUUCUCUACAAAGUUAACAGGGAGGCACUGUAACCUGGGCAACAUUUGCAAACGGUGAGUGGAGAGUGGAGAGCGCCUAUAAGAUAACCAACUGAAAGCUUCCUCAGACCAAAAACAAGCAACGGUGCCCUGGGGCCCACCGGGAGGAGGAAGACGGAUAAGAAUGCAAGGAAAGGGGAAGAGGAAGACAGGACAACCAACCCGGGAAAGGAAUGCCGCCAAGAAAGAGGUGGGGAAGCCUGAAGCAAUGUAAGUUACAAGUGUCCAGCUGAGGCAGAUGUCAGAACUUGCUACGGAGCCACAUUUUAACACGCCCUACGUCUGGGCACAGGGCCAAGGGCAGGACCUCCAGGAAACCUGAGACUCCACACGCCCAGAGUGUCCAAUGUCACAGAAAUAUGCCAGAAAGACCUAUAGCAGGCUUUAGUCUAUUUCCUGCUCCCAGAUCAACCCCAAGCAAAGGCUUAUAGAAAGAAGAGGACAUCAGCAUCCCCAAGCUGGCCACUGCAUAGAGGUCAGGUGUGCCUAACGCCGGCUCUGAGCGCACUGCCACCUCUGCAAAGGCCAGGCAGCCAAAACCCACCACCAGCGAGGCACCCUGUCCCACGUCCUAUGGCUCUAGCAAAGUUGGCAGAGUUGGGAAGAAGCGAAGCGUUGCAGCUGGGAGUCCUUCCCUAGCGCGAAGCGAAUAGAAGUCGGAGCUUCCUUCACCUUCACCCAGUCUAUCCAACUGGUGCAGGCUUCUUCUUUUAGGGGUACACGAAAGACACGACGUUCCUUAACUGCCUCAAACUCUAGAACCGGGACACUGAGGCCUGGUGACAAAGUUCACUGCAUAUACUAUUCAUUCUUCCCAGAAAACUAGCAGUUAUUAACUGGCUUCUGACCUUGGGAACUUUAUAUUAAAAUGGCACGG
rnacentral:lncRNA from 1 species